GAUUAUUUGAUAUCAGGAAACCUCAGUGUUAAGGGUAAUGCUUUGAUAUUUUUCAAAAACAUUCCAAAUAUCCAUGGGGUUUGUAUCUUGAGUUUCUGGAAAAAUCUCUAAAGAGUCAAAAACCAUAGGAGAAUCAAACUGUCUCUGGGGAAAAUAAAUUCUGAAGACUAGCCAGAACCAUCUGCACACUCACUUUUUAAUCUUUUCCCUUCUUGGAUUGCAUGCAAGUAUGAAGUUUUCAGGGAGCGACUGGCCUGACUCCUAUUUUCAAGUACUGCCAGCUGUGGGUAGUGGCCAAGCUAAUUAAAAGUCAUAUGUCAAAGAGGAAGUAUCUUACUGAAACUGUUCUAGGACAAUAACUGAGCUUUUUCUUUAAAUCAGUGAAGGAGAGUAUCUUAAUAUAUUUAAUUUCUUUUAGUUUUAUAUUCAUGGGUGCUAUUUUAUGAACUUGGUGGCUGGUAGUCAUAGUAUAAAUAGUUUUUAUUUGUUAAUAUUUGGAGAAUGUGAGCAUUCCACUGCAAACUACUCUUUAGUCAGGAGCCAUUCCUGUGCACUCUGUGUCUAGCUAGAUGGAUCUAUAAGUCUUACCAUUGGAGUCAGAGCCUAGUUAGAUUUCUAGUGUCCCAUGCUUAAAUAUAAUUAGGUAGCCAAGGAUCACCAUCCAUUGGAGGAAAGUUCUUAAUAAGAAAGAGAUCAAAAUAAUCAAACCAAAACAACAAAAUCCAGGAAAAAGUAAUUUAAAGAAAAUAAACUUCCUGUAGGAAGAAGUAGAAAUCAUGACUAGUAUGUUCAGUGAGAUAAGAGAAGAUAUUAAAUACGAAUAAGAAUACUAUAAAAAAAGAAAAAUUCAGAGAGAAAAAAAAAAGAGCCUAUGGAAAUACAAAAUAUAAGAGCCAGUUGAAAAAGUAAAUGGUUAGAAGAAAACAUUGAAGAAAGCCCCCUCAUAGCAGAUCAAAAAGACAAAACGGAGGGGGCAAAAGUAAAGAAAUAGUUCUAAGUCUCAGAACUGAAUGACAUGUUUCCACACACAAAAACCAACCAAGUACCCAGAGAAACAAAUAAAAAUAGAAGCCACCAGGCACGGAGGCACAUGCCUAUAAUCCUGGUAUCUCAGGAGGCUGAGGCAGGAGAUUACAAGUUCGAAGCCAGCCUCAGCAAAAGCAAGGCACUAAGCAACCAAGUGAGAGCCUGUCUCUAAAUAAAAUAACAAAAUAGGGCUGGGAUGUGGCUCAGUGGUCGAGUGCCCCGGGGUUCAAUUCCCAGCAACCCCCACCCCCGCAAA
rnacentral:lncRNA from 1 species